rnacentral:rRNA from 1 species
GACGAACGCUGGCGGCGUGCUUAACACAUGCAAGUCGAACGGAAAGGCCCUGCUUUUGUGGGGUGCUCGAGUGGCGAACGGGUGAGUAACACGUGAGUAACCUGCCCUUGACUUUGGGAUAACUUCAGGAAACUGGGGCUAAUACCGGAUAGGAGCUCCUGCUGCAUGGUGGGGGUUGGAAAGUUUCGGCGGUUGGGGAUGGACUCGCGGCUUAUCAGCUUGUUGGUGGGGUAGUGGCUUACCAAGGCUUUGACGGGUAGCCGGCCUGAGAGGGUGACCGGCCACAUUGGGACUGGGAUACGGCCCAGACUCCUACGGGAGGCAGCAGGGGGGAAAAUUGCACAAUGGGCGGAAGCCUGAUGCAGCAACGCCGCGGGCGGGAUGACGGGCUUCGGGUUGGAAACCGCUUUCGCCUGUGACGAAGCGUGAGGGACGGUAAUGGGUAAAGAAGCACCGGCUAAAUACGUGC